rnacentral:lncRNA from 1 species
AUGAAAUCAUUCACUAGAUAUCCACCAAGUAUAUGCUUAAUAAUUUAUUCUAGAACAUUUCUAAGAAUUGAAGUCAAGUUCACUGAUCUCUACUUUACAGACAUUACUAUUGUCUCCUAUUUUUUUAUUUUAGGAAUCAGGAUAUGUGCCCUUCUUCAGCUCCAAGGUACCUUUCCUGUUCUAUGUGAGCUUUUACAUAUGACUGGCAAUUGCUCAACAAUAAUAUCUGCUAGCUCUUUGAUUUCCCUGGAGAUAAUCAUCUGGGCCAGAUGCUGGUUCUGUAAGAGCUAUCAUUCCUUAAGUAACAAGAUGUUAAUGAAAUACCCUCUACAUCUACUAACAAACCAGAACAUUUUUCUAUAUGCUAUCUAAAACUAUAUGUCUGCAAGAAGAAAACCAACACUACUUUCCAACCUUGCAAACUAGAGAAGCUGUCUCACUCAAGUUAUCAAGAAGCAUUAUCUUAGGGUGACCUUGAGUCAGAGAUAGGAAUUGUGCACCAGUAUCCUAUGAGUGCCCUUCUCUUUUAAAGUACACAGACCUUGCCCUUUCUUCUCUCAGUCCCUCUAUUCAUACUUUCCUAACAUUUCACACUUGUGGAAGAAAAAUGAUAUGGUAACAGAGGACUUGGGUUUGAAUUCUGACUCUUCUUCUUCUUAGCCAUAUGACCACAGGCAAGUCACUUUACCUUUUGGGGCCUCGUUUCCUUUUAUAGAAAACGAAGGGGUUCAACUAGUUUUUCUCUAGUCUCUUCCAGUUGGAACAUCUCCUAUCCUAUAGUCCCUUCUAUUUCAACCACCCUAUUUGUCAUGGUCCCUUCCAGGGCUAGUAAUUCUGGUUACCUUUGGCUACUAAAGUGGUGAGGAUGGGGUUAGGGUGUUUGAGAGCUCCACCAAUACCCAGUAUUGAUAGUAAAUUCUCCUUUUCAACCCACCCCUCACCCCAAAGAGAGAGCAGAGAGAUUACAUGUUUCUUGUUUAAGCUGAGCCAAGAAUCACUCAGCAACUUCUCCAGUUUUAGAAAGGCAGCAGAAUGUGAAUAGGGAGUAGAUUUUCUGGAAUGUGAUCAAUGUGCAAUUGAAAAUGCACUCCAAGUUUCACAAAAGAAAUCACCAUGACCCCCAGUCCAGCACAGUGAAUCUUGAGCAAAUAGCCCACAGACCACUGUUGUUUCUUUGUUCUUUAUUCCUGACAGAUAUUUUUUAAAAGAUUAAAAAGUUGUUUGACUCACUCUGAUUGGUAAUAUUUUUUAAAAUGUCAUGUUCAGUAUGGAAAAUGAUUUUUAAAAUCUUGGGAUACUCAUGAAGAGCAGAACUGAGAAAACCAUUUUUUAAAGAUUCAUAGAUUAUUCAAGCUGGAAAGGAUCUAGCAAU